rnacentral:misc_RNA from 1 species
CUUGAAGUAUGAAGAAUUGAAGAAAGAUCCAAUCUUUAAUGCAAAGAAAUUAGCAGAGUUUUUGGAGCAGCCUUUUUCACUGGAGGAAGAGAAUGAAGGCAUUGUGGAGAGGAUAACAGAGCUAUGCAGCUUUGAGAAACUGAGUAAUUUGGAGGUGAAUAAAGAAGGUUCACACACUGGAUUUUUCACUCCUACUGUUUCUAACAACAUAUUUUUCAGGCAAGGUAAAG